UACGUAGGGGCCUAGCGUUGUCCGGAAUUAUUGGGCGUAAAGAGCUCGUAGGCGGUUCGGCAAGUCGGAUGUGAAAUCUCCACGCUUAACGUGGAGGGGCCAUUCGAAACUGCUGUGACUCGAGUCCGGUAGGGGAGUGUGGAAUUCCCGGUGUAGCGGUGAAAUGCGCAGAUAUCGGGGGGAACACCAGUAGCGAAGGCGGCACUCUGGGCCGGUACUGACGCUGAGGAGCGAAAGCGUGGGGAGCGAACAGG
rnacentral:rRNA from 1 species